rfam:Triticum aestivum genome assembly, contig: Triticum_aestivum_CS42_TGACv1_scaffold_580313_7BL
UGGCAGCAAUUAGAAUCUUAUCCACGCUUCUGAUUAACUCAUGAAGUACAGGGACAAAACAUGGUUGAUUUUCUUAUAUGAUUUCCU